rnacentral:misc_RNA from 1 species
CGAAAUGCGAUAAGUAAUGUGAAUUGCAGAAUUCAGUGAAUCAUCGAAUCUUUGAACGCACAUUGCGCCCGCCAGUAUUCUGGCGGGCAUGCCUGUUCGAGCGUCAUUACAACCCUCAGGCCCCCGGGCCUGGCGUUGGGGAUCGGCGGAAGCCCCCUGCGGGCACAACGCCGUCCCCCAAAUACAGUGGCGGUCCCGCCGCAGCUUCCAUUGCGUAGUAGCUAACACCUCGCAACUGGAGAGCGGUGCGGCCACGCCGUAAAACACCCAACUUCUGAAUGUUGACCUCGAAUCAGGUAGGAAUACCCGCUGAACUUAAGC